GACGAACGCUGGCGGCGUGCUUAACACAUGCAAGUCGAACGGUAAGGCCCUUCGGGGUACACGAGUGGCGAACGGGUGAGCAACACGUGGGUGAUCUGCCCUGCACUUCGGGAUAAGCCUGGGAAACUGGGUCUAAUACCGGAUAGGACCACUGCCUGCAUGGGUGGUGGUGGAAAGCUUUUGCGGUGUGGGAUGGGCCCGCGGCCUAUCAGCUUGGUGGUGGGGUGAAGGCCUACCAAGGCGACGACGGGUAGCCGGCCUGAGCGGGGGACCGGCCACACUGGGACUGAGAUACGGCCCAGACUCCUACGGGAGGCAGCAGUGGGGAAUAUUGCACAAUGGGCGCAAGCCUGAUGCAGCGACGCCGCGUGAGGGAUGACGGCCUUCGGGUUGUAAACCUCUUUCAGCACCGACGAAGCGCAAGUGACGGUAGGUGCAGAAGAAGGACCGGCCAACUACGUGCCAGCCGCCGCAGUAA
rnacentral:rRNA from 1 species